UACGUAGGGUGCAAGCGUUAUCCGGAUUCACUGGGUUUAAAGGGUGCGUAGGUGGAUUGGUAAGUCAGUGGUGAAAUCUCCGGGCUUAACCCGGAAACUGCCAUUGAUACUAUCAGUCUUGAAUACCGUGGAGGUCAGUAGAAUAUGUCAUGUAGCGGUGAAAUGCUUAGAUAUGACAUAGAAUACCAAUUGCGAAGGCAGCUGGCUACACGAAUAUUGACACUCAGGCACGAAAGCGUGGGGAUCAAACAGG
rnacentral:rRNA from 1 species